GGUUAUGGCACAGUGGUAGAGUGCUCACCUAGAAUGUGUGAGGCCCUGAGUUUGAUCCUCAGCACCA
rnacentral:tRNA from 1 species